GACGAACGCUGGCGGCGUGCUUAACACAUGCAAGUCGAACGGAAAGGCCCUGCUUUUGUGGGGUGCUCGAGUGGCGAACGGGUGAGUAACACGUGAGUAACCUGCCCUUGACUUUGGGAUAACUUCAGGAAACUGGGGCUAAUACCGGAUAGGAGCUCCUGCUGCAUGGUGGGGGUUGGAAAGUUUCGGCGGUUGGGGAUGGACUCGCGGCUUAUCAGCUUGUUGGUGGGGUAGUGGCUUACCAAGGCUUUGACGGGUAGCCGGCCUGAGAGGGUGACCGGCCACAUUGGGACUGAGAUACGGCCCAGACUCCUACGGGAGGCAGCAGUGGGGAAUAUUGCACAAUGGGCGGAAGCCUGAUGCAGCAACGCCGCGUGCGGGAUGACAGCCUUCGGGUUGUAAACCGCUUUCGCCUGUGACGAAGCGUGAGUGACGGUAAUGGGUAAAGAAGCACCGGCGAACUACGU
rnacentral:rRNA from 1 species